rnacentral:rRNA from 1 species
GCAAGGUUAACUGAAUAGGGGAGCCGAAGGGAAACCGAGUCUUAACUGGGCGUUAAGUUGCAGGGUAUAGACCCGAAACCCGGUGAUCUAGCCAUGGGCAGGUUGAAGGUUGGGUAACACUAACUGGAGGACCGAACCGACUAAUGUUGAAAAAUUAGCGGAUGACUUGUGGCUGGGGGUGAAAGGCCAAUCAAACCGGGAGAUAGCUGGUUCUCCCCGAAAGCUAUUUAGGUAGCGCCUCGUGAAUUCAUCUCCGGGGGUAGAGCACUGUUUCGGCAAGGGGGUCAUCCCGACUUACCAACCCGAUGCAAACUGCGAAUACCGGAGAAUGUUAUCACGGGAGACACACGGCGGGUGCUAACGUCCGUCGUGAAGAGGGAAACAACCCAGACCGCCAGCUAAGGUCCCAAAGUCAUGGUUAAGUGGGAAACGAUGUGGGAAGGCCCAGACAGCCAGGAUGUUGGCUUAGAAGCAGCCAUCAUUUAAAGAAAGCGUAAUAGCUCACUGGUCGAGUCGGCCUGCGCGGAAGAUGUAACGGGGCUAAACCAUGCACCGAAGCUGCGGCAGCGACACUGUGUGUUGUUGGGUAGGGGAGCGU